GGGAUUGCCCCAGUAACGGCGAGUGAAGCGGCAACAGCUCAAAUUUGAAAUCUGGCCCCCCCGCGGGCCCGAGUUGUAAUUUGCAGAGGAUGCUUUUGGCGCGGCGCCUUCCGAGUGCCCUGGAACGGGACGCCAUAGAGGGUGAGAGCCCCGUCUGGUCGGACGCCCAGCCUCUGUAAAGCUCCUUCGACGAGUCGAGUAGUUUGGGAAUGCUGCUCUAAACGGGAGGUAUAUGUCUUCUAAAGCUAAAUACCGGCCAGAGACCGAUAGCGCACAAGUAGAGUGAUCGAAAGAUGAAAAGCACUUUGAAAAGAGGGUUAAACAGUACGUGAAAUUGUUGAAAGGGAAGCGCUUGUGACCAGACUCGGGCGCGGCGAAUCACCCGGCGUUCUCGCCGGUGCACUUCGACGCGCCCGGGCCAGCAUCAGCUCGCCGCGGGGGACAAAGGCGCCGGGAACGUGGCUCCCCAGGGAGUGUUAUAGCCCGGCGCGCAACGCCCCGCGGCGGACUGAGGUUCGCGCGUCCGCAAGGAUGCUGGCGUAAUGGUCACCAGUGACCCGUCUUGAAACACGGACCAAGGAGUCGUCCUCGUAUGCGAGUGUUCGGGUGUCAAACCCCUACGCGCAAUGAAAGUGAACGCGGGUGAGAGCCUCGCGGCGCAUCAUCGACCGAUCCUGAUGUUCUCGGAUGGAUUUGAGUAGGAGCAUACGGGGCCGGACCCGAAAGAAGGUGAACUAUGCCUGUGUAGGGUGAAGCCAGAGGAAACUCUGGUGGAGGCUCGCAGCGGUUCUGACGUGCAAAUCGAUCGUCAAACAUGGGCAUGGGG
rnacentral:rRNA from 1 species